rnacentral:rRNA from 1 species
UGGGGAAUCUUAGACAAUGGGGGCAACCCUGAUCUAGCCAUGCCGCGUGAGUGAUGAAGGCCUUAGGGUUGUAAAGCUCUUUCAGCUGGGAAGAUAAUGACGGUACCAGCAGAAGAAGCCCCGGCUAACUCCGUGCCAGCAGCCGCGGUAAUACGGAGGGGGCUAGCGUUGUUCGGAAUUACUGGGCGUAAAGCGCACGUAGGCGGACCAGAAAGUCAGAGGUGAAAUCCCAGGGCUCAACCUUGGAACUGCCUUUGAAA